GCUGUGAUGGCCGAGUGGUUAAGGCGUUUCUUUUGAAAUCCAAUGGGGUUUCCCCACGCAGGUUCGAACCCUGCUCUCAGCG
rnacentral:tRNA from 1 species